rnacentral:rRNA from 1 species
UACGUAGGGUCCGAGCGUUGUCCGGAUUUAUUGGGCGUAAAGAGCUCGUAGGCGGUCUGUCACGUCGGGAGUGAAAACACGGGGCUUAACCCCGUGCCUGCUUCCGAUACGGGCAGACUAGAGGUAUGCAGGGGAGAACGGAAUUCCUGGUGUAGCGGUGAAAUGCGCAGAUAUCAGGAGGAACACCGGUGGCGAAGGCGGUUCUCUGGGCAUUACCUGACGCUGAGGAGCGAAAGUGUGGGGAGCGAACAGG